rnacentral:rRNA from 1 species
GAUGAACGCUAGCGGCAGGCCUAACACAUGCAAGUCGAGGGGCAGCACGUCUUCGGAUGGUGGCGACCGGCGCACGGGUGCGUAACGCGUAUGCAACCUACCUCUUACAGUGGGAUAGCCCAGAGAAAUUUGGAUUAAUACCGCAUAGUAUACAGAUUCAGCAUUGGGACUGUAUUAAACAUUUANGGGUAAGAGAUGGGCAUGCGUUCUAUAGUUAGUUGGAGUGGUAACGGCACCCCAAGACAGCGAUAGAUAGGGGCCCUGAGAGGGGGAUCCCCCACACUGGUACUGAGACACGGACCAGACUCCUACGGGAGGCAGCAGUGAGGAAUAUUGGACAAUGGGCGAGAGCCUGAUCCAGCCAUGCCGCGUGCAGGAAGACGGCCCUAUGGGUUGUAAACU